UUCCGUAGCCCGGGGUGCGCAGUGGCUGCGCUGAGAUGGAAUUACCGAACCCGCGAACUUGAUCCGGUUCAUACCGGCGUAAGAAGAGCCGCCCUGCACACGC
rnacentral:ncRNA from 2 species